rnacentral:lncRNA from 1 species
CAAAAUUGAAAACUGCUUAGAGUAAACACCUAAUUCUGCAAAAACAAACAUCAAACAACAUUUGUCUUUAAUAAUUUGCUUGAAUACAUGAAAACUAGGGAUGUCAACAAAUGCUCGAGUAAUCCGAUUAUCGAUUAUCGAUUUCUUUACCAAUACUCGACUAAUCGGUUUCCUGCUAGAAUGGUGCUGCUUUCUAAACCUUUAACAAC